CCUUACCAACCCUUGCCAGCCGUAUCGGGGUUCAUCGAGAGAGAUUCCUUUGGCUUCGCUGGCCCGGUGACAGGUGCUGCAUGGCUGUCGUCAGCUCGUGUCGUGAGAUGUUCGGUUAAGUCCGGCAACGAGCGCAACCCACAUCCUUAGUUGCCAACAGUUCGGCGGGGCACUCUAGGGAAAAGGCCCGUGAUAAGCGGGAGGAAGGUGUGGAUGACGUCAAGUCCUCAUGGCCCUUACGGGUUGGGCUACACACGUGCUACAAUGGCGGUGACAGUGGGUUAAUCCCCAAAACCGGUCUCAGUUCGGAUUGUAGUCUGCAACUCGACGCCAUGAAGUGGGAAUCGCUACUAAUCGCGUGCCAGCCAGGCUC
rnacentral:rRNA from 1 species